CAGUAUCCGGAACCAAGAGACGGUGACCUGGGCGAAACCCGAGGCCUGCCAGAGGAUCACUCUGCUUGUCUGUGUGCCAAUGUCUGGGCACUGCUUCCCAGCCUGGCUUUGGCUCUGGUCCUGGCCCAGCAUGCCUUAUAGAAGUGCCAGGAGAAGAAAAAGAGGUCAUCCACCCACAAGCUGAUCCCAAAAGCAGAAGGUGUUAUUUCUGAGACUGAUAUUAAGAAGGCUGAAUCUCUGGGCAGUUGACAAAAAUGAGCGGACCACAACUGUGAUAAAGCACAGAGGCUUGAAAAAGGACCUUUAGUAGGAGAGGCCAUGAAGUCCAUUCUUCGGGAGCAACUCUCCCUCAGCCUGAGACACGAAAUCCUAGAGGACUGAAGCUGAUCAUUUUCAACGCUUGCGCUUUUCACACCAGAGGAGGUAGAGCGGGAAUGAACGAGAUAAUUAAAAGAAGACAGAUUGACAGAAAAUAAAUUGUUGCAGAGAGAAAAGGAAUGAGCAGGAGGUAAAUGGGCUAGAGUUAAAGCAAAAGGACAAAGAGAGACAUAUUUCUGCUAUCAGUCACACUUUUUUGAAUUGGUUCUCAACUUAAUCUUUUCUUGGAUUAACAGACCACAAAUUUAGGGGCGGGGAUGGGGGAUGAUUACAUUGUGUGUCUUCAACACUAGUCUAAACUCUAAACUGUAAAGCCUACUCAGUGUUCUAAGUGUUGGUAUAGUAUCCGUGACCAUAAGCAAGCUACCGUGAAGCUCUCUCAUUUGGAUGCUACAGUCUACUUUUUCAGCAGGCGGCCAAAAGAACAAAAGAUAGCAGCAUAACCAGUUAACGGUCCUUUGGUCAUUUGAAAAUGUUAAUAACUGUGGGUGAGAUCCAUACGUCCACCUGCACAUGUUGUAUAUUUCUGUCUCUAUGUAUAAUAAACACCUUUCUUUCUUUCAACCAAAAGAUAUCUACGGUACCUUGAAUAGAAAUGACUGUAUGCUAAGAUGACUCUGUAUUGGUACUAAUUGAAGGUCUUCAUCAUCUGCGUUUAUAUUUGUCUAUAAAGGUUUAAUCACAAAGAAUGUAUACA
ensembl:lncRNA